UUUACCGAAAGAACUAAGAAUAUGAAUUACUGCAGUCACGAAAGCUUUAAAUCAAAAUUCAACCGGGUCUGUUGUGUUCACAGAGAACAAGACAUCAUCAGCCGAGAAGACGGACGACGAGAACCAGAACAAGACAUCAUCGUCUUCAUCAUCAGCCGAGAACACAGACGACAAGAACCGGAACAAGACAUCGUCAGGCGGGAAGACAGGCGACGAGAACCAGAACAAGACAUCGCCGUCGUCAGCCGAGAAGUCAGACGGCAAGAGCCGUGAGUGCCUGACCCAGCGUCCUAAAACCCCUCGCCCGUGUGAGACGCUCGCAUCUCUCAGCAUGCGGGCAUCCACAUUGCACGGAACCAGAGCUCAGGGAUAACCUGUGCAGGAGCCGGCCACCCACGGUGUUGAAUUGUGAAUGAACUGUGACCUUCACUCAGCCAUUCAUUCGUGCAUGAAACGUUCCGCCCAUAGAGAGGUGCGGGGCGCGAAUUCUCCGCUGCGGGUUCCUCGCUGACUUCCGCUGAUCUCUUCGCUGCCCGCGCCGUCUUCCUCUUAGAAUGUUGAUGAGGUU